GUUAUGUUUUCUUUGAUGCAGGUGAUAUCAGUGAGGAUAUGAAUGGAGGGGUCAACAAGCAUAUUAUAGAACCUGUGUCAACUAAUUUAGAAGCUGUCAAUGUCAAGUUAGAAAUUAAAAUUUAGACAACUCUUCAAACUUUUAAAUAGAAGAUAAUUCAAGUGGUACAAUUGCAAUUGAUGACUGCAAAUUGCAGUGGGGGGAAAAAGAAACAUAGUACUGUUUUAGAAGAGCAAAAAAAAAAGGUUUUGAAGCAUAUCAACUUUCUUUUUUCAAUAAGGAAUUCAAUAUUACUUUCCAUAUUCCGAAAAGCAACAGACGUGAUACUUACGAGCAUUGACCAAGCAAGUUAUCAAGAACAUGUUUAGCAAAAAAUUUUAAAGAGAGAAAAAAAAGUGGAGAUAUUCCUAUAGUCAUGUUUGAUUUGUAAAAUAUUAAAAUGUACCCUAGAGCUGGAGUGAGCUCUUUUUAUUAUCGAAAAAAACUUAAAAACUUACUUAUGUACAAUUUGACUGCAUUUUUUAGCACGAUAAAAACAAAAUACUGUGUUUUUUGGGUGGAAACAUCUUCAGGCAGAAACAGGAACAAUUAAGCAAAUGCUAUUAGAAUAAUAUUGGACAAAAUAGUUAAAAAAAAUGAUUUCACACAAUUAGUCAUAUGGAGUGAGUCUUGUUUCCCGCAAAACAGGAACAGCAUUAUAUCUUAUGCUGUCUGAUUUUUUGAAAAGUUAUUCAGAAGUAAAAGAAAUCACAAUGAAAUAUUUGACUCCUGGUCAUUUAAAAAUACAAGAAGUGGACAA